UACAGAGGGUGCGAGCGUUAAUCGGAAUUACUGGGCGUAAAGCGCACGUAGGCGGCUUGGUAUGUCGGGUGUGAAAUCCCCGGGCUCAACCUGGGAACUGCAUCCGAAACUGCCUUGCUCGAGUAUGGGAGAGGGAAGUGGAAUUUCCGGUGUAGCGGUGAAAUGCGUAGAUAUCGGAAGGAACAUCAGUGGCGAAGGCGACUUCCUGGACCAAUACUGACGCUCAGGUGCGAAAGCGUGGGGAGCAAACAGGAUUAGAUACCGU
rnacentral:rRNA from 1 species